rnacentral:tRNA from 1 species
AUUUAUGUAGUUUAGAAAAACAUUACACUUUCACUGUAAAGACAAAGAAAAACUUUCAUAAAUG